ensembl:snRNA U6 U6 spliceosomal RNA
GUGCUUAUUUAAGUAGCACAUUUACCAAAGUUGGAACAGUACAGAGAAGGCUAAUAUAGCCCUUUGAACAAGGUUGACUUGCAAAUUUGUGAAAUGUUCCUCAUUUUU